CCUACGGGUGGCAGCAGUGAGGAAUAUUGGUCAAUGGACGAGAGUCUGAACCAGCCAAGUAGCGUGAAGGAUGACUGCCCUAUGGGUUGUAAACUUCUUUUAUAUGGGAAUAAAAUGUUCCACGUGUGGGAUUUUGUAUGUACCAUAUGAAUAAGGAUCGGCUAACUCCGUGCCAGCAGCCGCGGUAAUACGGAGGAUCCGAGCGUUAUCCGGAUUUAUUGGGUUUAAAGGGAGCGUAGGGUGGUUGUUAAGUCAGUUGUGAAAGUGUGCGGCUCAAACGUAAAAUUGCAGUUGAAACUGGCAGGCUUGAGUACAUGAGAGGUGGGCGGAAUUCGUGGUGUAGCGGUGAAAUGCUUAGAUAUCACGAAGAACUCCGAUUGCGAAGGCAGCUCACUGGACUGCAACUGACACUGAGGCUCGAAAGUGUGGGUAUCAAACAGGAUUAGAUACCCGGGUAGUC
rnacentral:rRNA from 1 species